UUUUUUACCUAGUUAGUUUCCUAGUAAACUACUAAAAUUAUAAAAAGCAAAAAACGUCGAAGUAUACCCUUAAACGAGAUAUGAUUUUUGAUUGGCCCAUUAGAAAUGGCAAGGAUCACACCAAGUUCAUCAUGCACCGUUCAUAACUCUUAAUCCAAUGGACACCAUUUAAUCUAAUUUUUUUCUUUUCUUCUUCCUUUUCUUAUCUUUCUCCUUUGUCUCUUUCCUCUCAAAACAGAUCAAAGCAUUCUUUGUCUCUUUUUUUCUUUUCAUAUAUGAUCUCCCCUCCUUCUAUGCUCCAACCGCAGCCUCUCCUCCUCUGUUCUCUCCUAUGCUUCCGGACACCUCCGUAACGCCUCCAUGCUCCUCUGCUCCGUGGCCUCCCUCCUCCUCUGCUCUGUGACGCCUCAUCUCCUCCUCUACUCCGUGCGGCCUCCUCUCCUUCUUAGUUUUGUCAUGGCGGCUGCAAGAGGUAAAUUAGGUUUUGUCCAGUCUCACCUUAUAUAAAUCUCUCGCUUUCUCUCAUGUAUCUCUUUUCUUAAUAAUCCUUACUUAUUUGCUAUUAUUAUUUUUGUUAAUGUUUUCUUAACAAUCGUUUGUUUAUUUGUGUAGAUCUAAGAAGUAAAAAGAGGAUAGAAUGAAGAAGAUGAAAAAAUGCAGGAAGAAAACGUCUUGGUUGAGAGUGACAUGUUCGGUAACGGCGGCCUUCUCUGCCGCUGCUCGUUCUCCGGUGCCUGCAUCCACCACAAAGAUAUAUAUAUAUAUAUUAUGUGUAAUAUAUAUAUGUGACCUAUGUAAACAUAUUUGUAUUAUAUUUUAAUUGAUUAAUAAAAAUAAUAAUUUUUUAAAAAAAUAUUUAGUUAAUUUUACGACUGAAAAGUGACUACAACUUUAUUC
rnacentral:lncRNA from 1 species